rnacentral:rRNA from 1 species
UAGAAAGUAAUCUCACCUAUCACAACAUAUAAAAUUAUACUCUGUUAAAAUUAGUAAAUUAUAAACACUCUAUCUUAUAACUCGACCCUCUUUAAGGAGACUGUUUAACAAAAACAUAGCCUAUAACUUAACUUUAGGUACAACCCUGCCCUCUGAAAUUUUAACAGCCGAGGUAUCCUAACCGUGCUAAGGUAGCAUAAUCAUUUGCCUAUUAAUUAUAGGCUAGCAUGAACGGGAUCACUCACUUAAAUUUAUUUUCACUACAAUUAAAAUUAAACUUUAAGUUAAAAUACUAAAUUUUUAAGAAAGACAAAAAGACCCUGAAAACUAUUAGAAGAUAAUUAGUUGGGGCAACUAUAGACCAUAAACAGCGUCUAUUAAAAUUCGAAUUUUAAAAUUCAAAGCACGCAGUUACUUCAGGGAUAACAGACUAAUUGUAUUAUUUAGACCUAAUAAAUAAUAAAGAUUGGCACCUCGAUGUUGGCUUAUAAUUCCUUCAUAUAGUAACAUAUAUUGAUGGCAGCUGUC